GACGUAGGGCGCGAGCGUUGUCCGGAAUUAUUGGGCGUAAAGAGCUCGUAGGCGGCUUGUUGCGUCGGCUGUGAAAACCCAUGGCUUAACCAUGGGCUUGCAGCCGAUACGGGCAGGCUAGAGUUCGGUAGGGGAGACUGGAAUUCCUAGUGUAGCGGUGAAAUGCGCAGAUAUCAGGAGGAACACCGGUGGCGAAGGCGGGUCUCUGGGCCGAUACUGACGCUGAGGAGCGAAAGCGUGGGGAGCGAACAGG
rnacentral:rRNA from 1 species